rnacentral:misc_RNA from 1 species
GAUGAAGAACGGAGCGAAAUGCGAUAAGUAGUGUGAAUUGCAGAAUUCAGUGAAUCAUCGAAUCUUUGAACGCACAUUGCGCCCCUUGGUAUUCCAUGGGGCAUGCCUGUUCGAGCGUCAUUUGUACCUUCAAGCUUUGCUUGGUGUUGGGUGUUUGUCUCGCCUUUGCGUGUAGACUCGCCUUAAAAUAAUUGGCAGCCGGCGUAUUGAUUUCGGAGCGCAGUACAUCUCGCGCUUUGCACUCAUAACGACAGCGUCCAAAAGUACAUUUUACACUCUUGACCUCGGAUCAGGUAGGGAUACCCGCUGAACUUAAGCAUAUCAAUAAGCGGAGGA